AAUCAACGCUGGCGGCAUGGCUAAAACAUGCAAGUCGAACGCGAAAGGGGGCAACCCUGAGUAGAGUGGCGGACGGGCGAGUAAUGCAUUCCUAACGUACCUCGAGGUCAGGGAUAGCUAAGGGAAACCUUAGGUAAUACCUGAUGAUCUCACUUGGCCGCAUGGUUGAGUGAGCAAAGGCUUGUAUGCCUUGAGAUCGGGGAAUGUGCUAUCAGGUAGNGGUGAGGUAACGGCUCACCAAGCCUUAGACGGCUAGCGGGUGUGAGAGCACGACCCGCCGCAUCGGGACUGAGACACUGCCCGGACUCCUACGGGAGGCUGCAGUAACGAAUCUUCCGCAAUGGGCGCAAGCCUGACGGAGCAAUGCCGCGUGUGGGAUGAAGUCCCUCGGGAUGUAAACCACUGUCAGGAUUUAGCAAACACAAUGAGCAAAUCCAGAGGAAGAGACGGCUAACUCUGU
rnacentral:rRNA from 1 species